GGGGUAUAGAAAUAAACAUAGGGAGAGACAGCUGCAGUUUCGAGAGACAAGGUCAUGAAGGGAAGGAUCAAUAUGAAACCAGAAGAAGAUUGACCUAUCAGGACCAAUUAUUAGCAGCCUAGCAUGUUUUGAAGAUUUUGAGGCCCUGGCCACAUAGCUCAGUUGGUUAGAGCAUCAUCCUGAUACGCCAAGAUUGCGAGUUUGAUCCCUGAUGAGGGCACAUACAAGAAUCAACCAAUGAAUGCAUAAAGAAGUGGAAUAACAAAUCGACAUCUCUCUCUCUC